UACUCCUACGGGAGGCAGCAGUGGGGAAUAUUGCACAAUGGGGGAAACCCUGAUGCAGCCAUGCCGCGUGUGUGAAGAAGGCCUUCGGGUUGUAAAGCACUUUCAGUCAGGAGGAAGGGGAGCAGACUAAUAUUCUGUUUCAUUGACGUUACUGACAGAAGAAGCACCGGCUAACUCCGUGCCAGCAGCCGCGGUAAUUG
rnacentral:rRNA from 1 species